UAGAAACCUAAAUCCCUAAAUUAAGAAACCUAACCCUAAUUUUUCCCUUUCCCCAGACCGCAGCCCCCACCCCCUUCCUAAACCUAACGUAGAAACGGAAUUAGACAGGGAGAGAUAGGAAAUCAGAGUGUGAUCCAAGGAAGGAGAGGAGGGAGACACCGUCGCCACGCAGCCACCGUUCAGUCGCCAGAGCCACCGCUGGGGGUUCUUCGCCGUCACCGUCGUCGCUAUCCACGCGAGUUGCAGCGCUGCGAAGUCCAGCCACCGCGACCUCCGUGGAGCCCGCAUUGCUGUCACCGCCGUUGGACCCAUCGCACGCGUAGUCGUCCAAGGAGCACCGCUGACCAUCGCUGCUGCCACUAGGGUUUACCGCCGUUGCUCUGCCUUGCUAAUGCCAUCAGAGCCGCCGGUGAGGAAGGGAGCCCGAACGCCGUCGCUGGGAAGGAGGCUUGGCCGUCGCCAGACAGAACGCGAUGGUACUGAGAGGCAUCACCGUUGAUGACGCCAAAGCUUGACAAGGGCGCCGUCGCCGAACCACCGCGCCGCCAUGUCGCUGUCGCCGUCGAGGGAAGCCACCACCAUCGCUUGGGAAGAACCCGAAGAGUGAGAGGGAGACUGCAGAGAAAACGCAACCGCCAGAGAGGAAAAUAGCAUUGCUGCCAUCGCCGUCGUCACCGUAGAUGUCACCGUCGCUGCCAUGUGAGGAAGGAAGAAGUUGCCCUGCCACCACCUGAGCUUGCUAUUGCAUUCGUCCGUACUGCUACCGCUGCUUCUUCGUUCUGUUACUACUUUCUAAUUGUUUUUUUGCUUGCUACCGUGGCCACCUCACAUCGCUGGCUCUGUUUGAAAAUGGCUGCUACUUCUGGAAUCCCAGAUCGGAGAGGAGAUGAGAGGAGGCGUUUAACCUUGACAUUGUUGCUGCCGUGGAAAUAGGUGCUGGAAACUGCUAAUGGAGCAGCUGUGUUUAGUGAUUUUUGCGAGUUUCGAUAUUGAGCUUCUGACCGCAGCCCCCACCCCCUUCCUAAACCUAACGUAGAAACGGAAUUAGACAGGGAGAGAUAGGAAAUCAGAGUGUGAUCCAAGGAAGGAGAGAAGGGAGACACCGUCGCCACGCAGCCACCGUUCAGUCGCCAGAGCCGCCGCUGGGGGUUCUUCGCCGUCACCGUCGUCGCUAUCCACGCGAGUUGCAGCGCUGCGAAGUCCAGCCACCGCGACCUCUGUGGAGCCCGCGUUGCUGUCACCGCCGUUGGACCCAUCGCACGCGUAGUCGUCCAAGGAGCACCGCUGACCAUCGCUGCUGCCACUAGGGUUUACCGCUGUUGCUCUGCCUUGCUAAUGCCAUCAGAGCCGCCGGUGAGGAAGGGAGCCCGAACGCCGUCGCUGGGAAGGAGGCUUGGCCAUCGCCAGACAGAACGCGAUGGUACUGAGAGGCAUCACCGUUGAUGACGCCAAAGCUUGACAAGGGCUGUAGCGCCGUCGCCGAACCACCGCGCCGCCAUGUCGCUGUCGCCGUCGAGGGAAGCCACCACCAUCGCUUGGGAAGAACCCGAAGAGUGAGAGGGAGCCUGCAGAGAAAACGCAACCGCCAGAGAGGAAAAUAGCAUUGCUGCCAUCGCCGUCGUCACCGUAGAUGUCACCGUCGCUGCCAUGUGAGGAAGGAGGAAGUUGCCCUGCCACCACCUGAGCUUGCUAUUGCAGUCGUCCGUACUGCUACCGCUGCUUCUUCGUUCUGUUACUACCUUCUAAAUGUUGUAAGACAUUUGUGUUCUGAAUCUUCACUUGAUGUUUUUGUUUAUUCCACUGCCAUUUUAUUAGCCUUGCUUUGUUCCAAUUUGAUUUUUUCCUAAACUUCCAGAAUUGUUACUUUUAUCCGAUUUGAAUUCAUGGUUUUUGCUUGCUACCGUGGCCACCUCACAUCGCUGCUGGCUCUGUUUGAAAAUGGCUGCUACUUCUGGAAUCCCAGAUCGGAGAGGAGAGGAGAGGAGGCAUUUAACCUUGUCAUUGUUGCUGCCGUGGAAAUAGGUGCUGGAAACUGCUAAUGGAGCAGCUGUGUUUAGUGAUUUUUGCGAGUUUCGAUAUUGAGUUGUAUGACAGGUAGAAGAAGCGGGGCUUCAACUUCCUUUGAUUCUGAACCUGAGAGGACCUUCCUUAGACUAAAGAGGGAAGCAAGAGAGAAAAGAGUUAUUGGCGCUGAGGAAGAGGAGGAGUAUUUUGAAACAAAUAUGGAAGAGAACAUGGAGAACCAUCAUGAAGAAGAAGCUCACAACCAUGCCAGAGAAGGUCCAGUAAAUCAUGAUG